rnacentral:rRNA from 1 species
UACAGAGGGUGCGAGCGUUGUCCGGAAUCACUGGGCGUAAAGGGUGCGUAGGCGGCGCGGUAAGUCGGGUGUGAAAUCUCGGAGCUUAACUCCGAAACUGCAUUCGAUACUGCCGUGCUUGAGGACUGGAGAGGAGACUGGAAUUCUUGGUGUAGCGGUGAAAUGCGUAGAUAUCGAGAGGAACACCUGCGGCGAAGGCGGGUUGCUGGGCUGACACUGACGUGGAUGCGCGAAAGCCGGGAGCGAACGG